AUUGAACGCUGGCGGCAGGCCUAACACAUGCAAGUCGAGCGGAUGAAGGGAGCUUGCUCCUGGAUCCAGCGGCGCACGGGUGAGUAAUGCCUAGGAAUCUGCCUCGUAGUGGGGGAUAACGUCCGGAAACGGGCGCUACUACCGCAUACGUCCUGCGGCAGAAAGUGGGGGAUCUUCGGACCUCUCGCUCUCAUAUGAGCCUAGGCGGGAGUAGCUAGUUGGUGGGGUAAAGGCCUACCAAGGCGACGAUCCGUAACUGGUCUGAGAGGAUGAUUAGUCACACUGGAACUGAGACACGGUCCAGACUCCUACGGGAGGCAGCAGUGGGGAAUAUUGGACAAUGGGCGAAAGCCUGAUCCAGCCAGGCCGCGUGUGUGAAGAAGGUCUUCGGAGUGUAAAGCACUUUAAGUUGGGAGGAAGGGCAGUAAGUUAAUACCUUGCUGGUGUGACGUUACCAACAGAAUAAGCACCGGCUAACUUCGUG
rnacentral:rRNA from 1 species